rnacentral:rRNA from 1 species
AACGAACGCUGGCGGCAGGCCUAACACAUGCAAGUCGAGCGAGGACUUCGGUCCUAGCGGCGGACGGGUGAGUCACGCGUGGGAACGUGCCCUUUGCUACGGAAUAGCCCCGGGAACCUGGGAGUAAUACCGUAUGUGCCCUUCGGGGGAAAGAUUUAUCGGCAAAGGAUCGGCCCGCGUUGGAUUAGGUAGUUGGUGGGGUAAUGGCCUACCAAGCCGACGAUCCAUAGCUGGUUUGAGAGGAUGAUCAGCCACACUGGGACUGAGACACGGCCCAGACUCCUACGGGAGGCAGCAGUGGGGAAUCUUAGACAAUGGGGGAAACCCUGAUCUAGCCAUGCCGCGUGAGCGAUGAAGGCCUUAGGGUUGUAAAGCUCUUUCAGUGGGGAAGAUAAUGACGGUACCCACAGAAGAAGCCCCGGCUAACUCCGUGCCAGCAGCCGCAGUAACAC